rnacentral:rRNA from 1 species
UGCCAGCAGCCGCGGUAACACGGGGGGUGCAAGCGUUAUUCGGAAUCACUGGGCGUAAAGAGCGCGUAGGCGGCCAGGUAAGUCAGAUGUGAAAGCCCGGGGCUCAACCCUGGAAGUGCAUCUGAAACUGCUUGGCUUGAGUAUGGGAGAGGGUAGUGGAAUUCCUGGUGUAGAGGUGAAAUUCGUAGAUAUCAGGAGGAACACCGGUGGCGAAGGCGGCUACCUGGACCAAUACUGACGCUGAGGCGCGAAGGCGUGGGGAGCAAACAGGAUUAGAUA